rnacentral:siRNA from 1 species
CUGAUACUCAGGGAUAAUGUG